UAAUCUACUGAGAUGUUUUCAUGGUCACUA
rnacentral:piRNA from 1 species